rnacentral:rRNA from 1 species
AACGAACGCUGGCGGCAGGCCUAACACAUGCAAGUCGAACGAGUAAGAGCCGUAGCAAUACGGAGUUCUGCUAGUGGCGCACGGGUGAGUAACGCGUGGGAACGUGCCUUGGAGUUCGGGAUAACAGUUGGAAACGACUGCUAAUACCGAAUAUUCCCUCAGGGGGAAAGAUUUAUCGCUCCAAGAUCGGCCCGCGUAAGAUUAGGUAGUUGGUGGGGUAAUGGCCUACCAAGCCUACGAUCUUUAGCUGGUCUGAGAGGACGACCAGCCACACUGGAACUGAGACACGGUCCAGACUCCUACGGGAGGCAGCAGUGGGGAAUAUUGGACAAUGGGCGAAAGCCUGAUCCAGCCAUGCCGCGUGAAUGAUGAAGGCCUAGGGUUGUAAAUACUUUGCAGGGGAAGAUAAUGACGGUACCCUGCGAAUAAGCUCCGGCUAACUCGUGCCAGCAGCCGCGGUAAU